rnacentral:rRNA from 1 species
AACAGGAUUAGAUACCCUGGUAGUCCACGCCGUAAACGAUGUCAACUAGCCGUUGGGAGCCUUGAGCUCUUAGUGGCGCAGCUAACGCAUUAAGUUGACCACCUGGGGAGUACGGCCGCAAGGUUAAAACUCAAAGGAAUUGACGGGGACCCGCACAAGCGGUGGAUGAUGUGGAUUAAUUCGAUGCAACGCGAAAAACCUUACCUACCCUUGACAUGUCCGGAAGCCUGAAGAGAUUUGGGUGUGCCCGAAAGGGAGCCGGAACACAGGUGCUGCAUGGCUGUCGUCAGCUCGUGUCGUGAGAUGUUGGGUUAAGUCCCGCAACGAGCGCAACCCUUGUCGUUAAUUGCCAUCAUUUAGUUGGGCACUUUAACGAGACUGCCGGUGACAAACCGGAGGAAGGUGGGGAUGACGUCAAGUCCUCAUGGCCCUUAUGGGUAGGGCUUCACACGUCAUACAAUGGUCGGUACAGAGGGUUGCCAAGCCGCGAGGUGGAGCCAAUCCCAGAAAGCCGAUCGUAGUCCGGAUCGUAGGCUGCAACUCGCCUGCGUGAAGUCGGAAUCGCUAGUAAUCGCGGAUCAGCAUGUCGCGGUGAAUACGUUCCCGGGUCUUGUACACACCGCCCGUCACACCAUGGGAGCGGGUUCCGCCAGAAGUGGGUAGCCUAACCGCAAGGAGGGCGCUUACCACGGCGGGGUUCGUGACUGGGGUGAAGUCGUAACAAGGUAACC